rnacentral:rRNA from 1 species
GAUGAACGCUGGCGGCGUGCUUAACACAUGCAAGUCGAACGGGAAUUACUUUAUUGAAACUUCGGUCGAUUUAAUUUAAUUCUAGUGGCGGACGGGUGAGUAACGCGUGGGUAACCUGCCUUAUACAGGGGGAUAACAGUCAGAAAUGACUGCUAAUACCGCAUAAGCGCACAGAGCUGCAUGGCUCAGUGCGAAAAACUCCGGUGGUAUAAGAUGGACCCGCGUUGGAUUAGCUAGUUGGUGAGGUAACGGCCCACCAAGGCGACGAACCAUAGCCGGCCUGCGAGGGGGAACGGCCACAUUGGGACUGAGACACGGCCCAGACGCCUACGGGAGGCAGCAGUGGGGAAUAUUGCACAAUGGGGGAAACCCUGAUGCAGCGACGCCGCGUGAAGGAAGAAGUAUCUCGGUAUGUAAACUUCUAUCAGCAGGGAAGAAUUAGGACGGUACCUGACUAAGAAGCCCCGGCUAACUACGUGCCAGCAGCCGCCGUAAGAC